rnacentral:rRNA from 1 species
UACUCCUACGGGAGGCAGCAGUGGGGAAUUUUGGACAAUGGGCGAAAGCCUGAUCCAGCCAUGCCGCGUGCAGGAUGAAGGCCUUCGGGUUGUAAACUGCUUUUGUACGGAACGAAAAGACUCUUUCUAAUAAAGAGGGUCCAUGACGGUACCGUAAGAAUAAGCACCGGCUAACUACGUGCCAGCAGCCGCGGUAAUACGUAGGGUGCAAGCGUUAAUCGGAAUUACUGGGCGUAAAGCGUGCGCAGGCGGUUAUGUAAGACAGAUGUGAAAUCCCCGGGCUCAACCUGGGAACUGCAUUUGUGACUGCAUAGCUAGAGUACGGUAGAGGGGGAUGGAAUUCCGCGUGUAGCAGUGAAAUGCGUAGAUAUGCGGAGGAACACCGAUGGCGAAGGCAAUCCCCUGGACCUGUACUGACGCUCAUGCACGAAAGCGUGGGGAGCAAACAGGAUUAGAUACCCUGGUAGUCCACGCCCUAAACGAUGUCAACUAGUUGUUGGGUCUUCACUGACUCAGUAACGAAGCCAACGCGUGAAGUUGACCGCCUGGGGAGUACGGCCGCAAGGUUGAAACUCUAAGGAAUUGACGGGGACCCGCACAAGCGGUGGAGCAUGUGGA